GUGAAUUUGUAGCCUCCAAGGCUCACAGUUCUCUAUCCUUUACACACCUGUGCACCCUUCUGAAGCGGAGAGUUAUUAGGCAUUAGCCGAGCGCCUCCCUUCGGUUAUUAUAUCAAACUCAAACUACGUUUACUAGAAUGUAUACCGUCUUGUUGUAAUGACAAGUACAAUCCAAUA
rnacentral:misc_RNA from 1 species